GUCUCCCAGGCCACAGCAUAGCAACCGAACAUGGCGGCUGCGCAGACGCCGCCAGUCAGCAGCCAGGAACGGCGGUGGCGGCCACUGGAGGCGAUCUCGCGAGAGACGAGGCCAAGCCCCUUCCCCGCCAGCACCGGCUGGAAGAUGUUACACCAGCCCGAGAGCCGGGGGACGCGCAGGUGCGAGGGAGGCCGGACCUGGCUGGAGCCUCAGCGUUGGAGGGGCAGGAAGAGGACACACUUUCUUUAGGGAAACUCCACAGGAUUUAUUACAUUACAGAUCUGGAUGUAAGAAGUCCAAAAUGGAUUGACAGAGGAGAUGGGAUGAAGAUGGUGGAAUAGAAGGAAUGGAGAUCAACCUCUUUCCUAAAAAUGAUAAAAUCUACAACCAAAUGCUGAGAAAUCUUCAACCAAAUGGACCAAAACCUUUCAAAAAGACAUCCUACUCCAGAAGACAAAGAGGAGGCUACAUCAAGAGUGGUACAAAAUUGAAUUGUUAAAAAUAUCUGACAAUUAGAGAUAGUCUAAAACAGCAAUAAAGUAAAAAUGUUAUCAUACUACAUAUUUUCUUAGUAUUAAGAAAUGGAAUUGCUUAUUCAAAUGAUUUUAAAUCAUUUGCUUAAUAGAAAUAAUUUUUACAUGAUAAGAAUAAAGUAGCAGAAUGAUCA